rnacentral:rRNA from 1 species
UACGUAGGGUGCGAGCGUUGUCCGGAAUUAUUGGGCGUAAAGAGCUCGUAGGCGGUGUGUCACGUCGUUCGUGAAAACCUGCAGCUUAACUGUGGGCGUGCAGUCGAUACGGGCAGGCUAGAAUUCGGUAGGGGAGACUGGAAUUCCUGGUGUAGCGGUGAAAUGCGCAGAUAUCAGGAGGAACACCGGUGGCGAAGGCGGGUCUCUGGGCCGAUAUUGACGCUGAGGAGCGAAAGCGUGGGGAGCGAACAGG